UAAAAUUUUGUCGCCAAGGACUGCUUACUUUGGAACACGGCGCGGUCCCAGAACUGCCGUCGUUUUGGUGGUCUGAAGUGUGAAGAUAAACACGACGACCUUUUUCGUGAAUCCCCGAGGCACCAUAAAACGAAUCAGCUGAGGCGUUCUUGUUGUUCCCCUUUUCAGUAAGGAGCACGAGCUGGUGAGUGAAUUCUUUCAACUGAACGAAAUUCAAUUGCAUUAGUAUUAUCUGUAAGUUUUCGUUUUCGAAGAUGUAUGGAUUAUUCUAUAGAAAUAAUGGAAGGCUAUCACUAGCACAAGUGUUAUCAAAUAGUAAUGGGUCUAUUGCGCAAGAUUUAGCCACCUCUUAUUUGGAUUUGUUUUCUGGUUUGGGUUUGAAAGUUCAGAACGCAAGGUUGUUUAAUCCUUUUGGCGUUAAGUUAUUCUCAACUGAAGACGAACAAAUUAAAAGGAAAGUGCCAAAAGAAUGCUCAUUUACGGUGUCAUACCUCAUAAACUCAUGUGGGUUGUCCCCAAAAAUUGCAAAAUCUGUUGCUGAAAGAGUAAAGCUUCGAUCUUCG
rnacentral:lncRNA from 1 species